GACGAACGCUGGCGGCGCGCUUAACACAUGCAAGUCGAACGGAAAGGCCUGCUUUCCCUUGUGGAUUGCGGGUACUCGAGUGGCGAACGGGUGAGUAACACGUGAGUGAUCUGCCCCCAACUUGGGUAUAAGCCUGGGAAACUGGGUCUAAUUCCCGAUAGGACUGCAGGGUGGUGCUUGUGGUGGAAAACGAUUUUCUAGUGGUUGGGGAUGAGCUCGCGGCCUAUCAGCUUGUUGGUGGGGUAAUGGCCUACCAAGGCGGCGACGGGUAGCCGGCCUGAGAGGGUGGACGGCCACAUUGGGACUGAGAUACGGCCCAGACUCCUACGGGAGGCAGCAGUGGGGAAUAUUGCACAAUGGGCGGAAGCCUGAUGCAGCGACGCCGCGUGGGGGAUGACGGCCUUCGGGUUGUAAACUCCUUUCGACCGCGAGGAAGCCACCUGGUUGGAAGGGUGGUGACGGUAGUGGUAGAAGAAGCACCGGCUAACUACGUG
rnacentral:rRNA from 1 species